GGUAGUCCACGCNGUAAACGCUGAGUGCUAGGUGUUAGGUCCUUUCCGGGACUUAGUGCCGACGCUAACGCAUUAAGCACUCCGCCUGGGGAGUACGACCGCAAGGUUGAAACUCAAAGGAAUUGACGGGGCCCGCACAAGCGGUGGAGCAUGUGGUUUAAUUCGAAGCAACGCGAAGAACCUUACCAGGUCUUGACAUCCCGAUGCCCGCUCUAGAGAUAGAGUUUUACUUUUUGUACAUCGGAGACAGGUGGUGCAUGGUUGUCGUCAGCUCGUGUCGUGAGAUGUUGGGUUAAGUCCCGCAACGAGCGCAACCCUUAUUGUUAGUUGCCAUCAUUAAGUUGGGCACUCUAGCGAGACUGCCGGUAAUAAACCGGAGGAAGGUGGGGAUGACGUCAAAUCAUCAUGCCCCUUAUGACCUGGGCUACACACGUGCUACAAUGGUUGGUACAACGAGUCGCAAGCCGGUGACGGCAAGCUAAUCUCUGAAAGCCAAUCUCAGUUCGGAUUGUAGGCUGCAACUCGCCUACAUGAAGUCGGAAUCGCUAGUAGUCGCGGAUCAGCACGCCGCGGUGAGUACGUUCCCGGGCCUUGUNCAC
rnacentral:rRNA from 1 species